CCUACGGGAGGCUGCAGUGAGGAAUAUUGGUCAAUGGACGAGAGUCUGAACCAGCCAAGUAGCGUGAAGGAUGACUGCCCUAUGGGUUGUAAACUUCUUUUAUAUGGGAAUAAAAUGUUCCACGUGUGGGAUUUUGUAUGUACCCUAUGAAUAAGGAUCGGCUAACUCCGUGCCAGCAGCCGCGGUAAUACGGAGGAUCCGAGCGCUAUCCGGAUUUAUUGGGUUUAAAGGGAGCGUAGGUGGAUUGUUAAGUCAGUUGUGAAAGUUUGCGGCUCAACCGUAAAAUUGCAGUUGAAACUGGCAGUCUUGAGUACAGUAGAGGUGGGCGGAAUUCGUGGUGUAGCGGUGAAAUGCUUAGAUAUCACGAAGAACUCCGAUUGCGAAGGCAGUUCACUGGACUGCAACUGACACUGAGGCUCGAAAGUGUGGGUAUCAAACAGGAUUAGAUACCCGUGUAGUC
rnacentral:rRNA from 1 species